AUCCUGUUGUAGUUCAUAAGCAUGAUGAUUUGGUGUUCACGUGCAUGUGUGGGAUGUGCCGCCCACAAACCUUGUUAGGACAUUGGCACAUUACCCAUCUGACA
ensembl:snoRNA